AAAUUUCUCUGAAUAUAAUCUGUCAGAAAAAUAUACAAAGCCCUUUUCUACUGUUUUGGCGUAUAUACACCAACUCAAUAUGGUCUCUCAUGUAAAAUACCGAAAUUCAAAAUUUCCGCGAAUCGAAAAAAAUCUAAAUAUUCUCUAAGCACCCCAAUGUUAAAAGCAAAAUUGCUCUGAAUAGAAUCUGUCAGAAAAAAUAUACAAGCCAUUUUCUACUUUGUUUUGGAGUAUAUACACCCACACAAUAUGCUCUCUCAUGUAAAAUACCGAAAUUCUAAAUUUACGUGCAUCGAAGAAAAUCUAAAUAUUAUCUAGGAAUUCCAAUGUUAAAAGCAAAAUUGCUCUGAAUGUAAUCUGUCAGAGAAAAUAUACAAUGCUUUUUUCUACUCUGUUUUGGAGUAUAUACACCAACGCCAUAUGCUC
rnacentral:lncRNA from 1 species